rnacentral:rRNA from 1 species
UACCCGCAGCACAAGUGGUGGUCAUUAUUAUUGGGCCUAAAGCGUCCGUAGCUGGCCUGUUAGAUGCCUGGGUAAAUCGAUGCGCUCAACGUAUCGAACUCCGGGUAGACCGGCAGGCUUGGGACCGGGAGAGGCGUGAGCUACUCGAGGGGUAGGGGUAAAAUCCUGUAAGUCCUUCGGGGAGGACCAGUGGCGAAGGCGUCACGCUAGAACGGCUCCGACAGUGAGGGACGAAGCCCUGGGGCGGCAAACCGG